rnacentral:misc_RNA from 1 species
GAUGAAGAACGCAGCGAAAUGCGAUAAGUAAUGUGAAUUGCAGAAUUCAGUGAAUCAUCGAAACUUUGAACGCACAUUGCGCCCGCCAGUAUUCUGGCGGGCAUGCCUGUUCGAGCGUCAUUACAACCCUCAGGCCCCCGGGCCUGGCGUUGGGGAUCGGCGGAAGCCCCCUGCGGGCACAACGCCGUCCCCCAAAUACAGUGGCGGUCCCGCCGCAGCUUCCAUUGCGUAGUAGCUAACACCUCGCAACUGGAGAGCGGCGCGGCCACGCCGUAAAACACCCAACUUCUGAAUGUUGACCUCGAAUCAGGUAGGAAUACCCGCUGAACUUAAGCAUAUCAAUAAGCGGAGGA